rnacentral:sRNA from 1 species
CAAUAGCCCUGAUAGCAGUGAAAAUCCUUUUAUGUUUUUUCUUUAAAAACAUAAAAGAUUGCAACGGAUAGCAGGAACAGCU